rnacentral:rRNA from 1 species
GAUGAACGCUGGCGGCGUGCCUAAUACAUGCAAGUCGAGCGAACAGACGAGGAGCUUGCUCCUCUGACGUUAGCGGCGGACGGGUGAGUAACACGUGGAUAACCUACCUAUAAGACUGGGAUAACUUCGGGAAACCGGAGCUAAUAUCGGAUAAUAUAUUGAACCGCAUGGUUCAAUAGUGAAAGACGGUUUUGCUGUCACUUAUAGAUGGAUCCGCGCCGCAUUAGCUAGUUGGUAAGGUAACGGCUUACCAAGGCAACGAUGCGUAGCCGACCUGAGAGGGUGAUCGGCCACACUGGAACUGAGACACGGUCCAGACUCCUACGGGAGGCAGCAGUAGGGAAUCUGCCGCAAUGGGCGAAAGCCUGACGGAGCAACGCCGCGUGAGUGAUGAAGGUCUUCGGAUCGUAAAACUCUGUUAUUAGGGAAGAACAAAUGUGUAAGUAACUAUGCACGUCUUGACGGUACCUAAUCAGAAAGCCACGGCUAACUACGUG